AUGUCGGAGAUAGUCAAUAGUACGGUCACUGAACGAGCCGCAAGCGCGCCCUCUGGUGGCGUGUUCGGUGAAACAACAAUUUGGCGCGCUUGGCGGAGUCGUGGCGGUCAGCGCGGCGUCCGCGGAGCUCAGUCUUAGUUCACUCUCGGUUGAGUCUUGGUCGAGUCUUCAUCGAGUGUUCGUUGGAGUCGUCGCGUUACUGCCUUACCUACGUCACGGCUAGUGUACCUAGUGUUAUUGCCUAGCGUUGUAGUACCGUUGUAGAUUCAAAUGUAAAGGUUCUUCUAACCUGACAGACAGACAUGUGUUGCUGGGGAGUUUGUUCCGCCACUUCUUCUUCCCAGCCAAAACACAUAGGAAGUGGCGAAGGGCGGGCGUUUUGGGGGAUGUCUUUUGUUCUUAGUAAUUUGAAUAAACGUUUCUAAGUGUUGAGUUCUGUUUGAGUUAUCUCUUUGCUUGAUUUCCCUAACUGAUGUCGGACGAUAGUGCCAGCCAUCCUGAUGGCGCCUCUGACAUCAGAAGUGGGAUGCAAUCCAAAUGCCCACAUGCGUUUCGAAUUCGCCAUGCGAAGAUAAAUUUCUACCCACUAACAAAAAAAAAAAAAAUGGAACGUCGAUAAUUUGAAUUAAGAAUUUCAGCGAAGGUACAAGUAUGGUAACCACGGUUAUGGUAAUGGUAUCGUUUCCAUUGUUAAAUGUCAAGCUAGUUAUUGAAGGUAUGUUAAAAAAUUAACCGAAUUUGUCUUUUUUUUCAUGUUUCAACAAUGACGGUGGUUAUUGAGCAAUAUGGCGAGAAAAUUACGACGUUGAAUGGAGCAUCCCAGCUGCCUACCAGGAGCCCAGCGUGUCGUGUGUUAUCGUGAGUUCGGAGUGUUGGUGAUCGUGCAUCUCCGUGGCUUCACGUUCACGAAAGUCGCUGUACUGCGCGCUAUAGCGAUGUGUGCAUAGUCACGCACGUUGAGUGGAAACCCGGUACAAUGUGUAGCCACACGAGGACGUGUGUAUGUCAGUUAUGGCCGUGUCGGAGAUAGUCAAUAGUACGGUCACUGAACGAGCCGCAAGCGCGCCCUCUGGUGGCGUGUUCGGUGAAACAACAAUUUGGCGCGCUUGGCGGAGUCGUGGCGGUCAGCGCGGCGUCCGCGGAGCUCAGUCUUAGUUCACUCUCGGUUGAGUCUUGGUCGAGUCUUCAUCGAGUGUUCGUUGGAGUCGUCGCGUUACUGCCUUACGUCACGGCUAGUGUACCUAGUGUUAUUGCCUAGCGUUGUAGUACCGUUGUAGAUUCAAAUGUAAAGGUUCUUCUAACCUGACAGACAGACAUGUGUUGCUGGGGAGUUUGUUCCGCCACUUCUUCUUCCCAGCCAAAACACAUAGGAAGUGGCGAAGGGCGGGCGUUUUGGGGGAUGUCUUUUGUUCUUAGUAAUUUGAAUAAACGUUUCUAAGUGUUGA